rnacentral:rRNA from 1 species
GACGAACGCUGGCGGCGUGCUUAACACAUGCAAGUCGAGCGGAAAGGCUCCUUUUUGGGGUACUCGAGCGGCGAACGGGUGAGUAACACGUGAGUAAUCUGCCCUUCACUUCGGGAUAGCUCCGGGAAACCGGGAUUAAUACCGGAUGGGACACAUCACCGCAUGGUGUGUGUGUGGAAAGUUUUUUCGGUGGGGGAUGUGCUCGCGGCCUAUCAGCUUGUUGGUGGGGUAAUGGCCUACCAAGGCUUCGACGGGUAGCCGGCCUGAGAGGGUGACCGGUCACACUGGGACUGAGACACGGCCCAGACUCCUACGGGAGGCAGCAGUGGGGAAUAUUGGACAAUGGGCGGAAGCCUGAUCCAGCAACGCCGCGUGAGGGAUGACGGCCUUCGGGUUGUAAACCUCUUUCAGUGCCGACGAAGCCUUUUGGGGUGACGGUAGGUGCAGAAGAAGGACCGGCCAACUACGUGCCAGCCGCCGCGGUAACAC